ensembl:lncRNA
UUCCAAAAGAGUAAGAGUUUUCAUUGAGCAGUUGUUAUGCGUCAGAUACUGGACUAAGCAGUUUGCAUACCUGAUCUAUUUAAACUUUACUCCAGUCUUACAAAGUGGGUAUACUAGUGUCAUUCUACAGAUAAGGAAUCUGAGGUUCAGAGAAGCUAAGUAACUUGUCCAGGUUCUUAAUUAACCUAUUGUACUGUUCAAGAAAAAGCCUAGAAAAAACGCCCAGAACGUUAAUAGCAGUAGUCUCUGAGCAGUGGGACUAUGAAUGACUUUUCAUUUCCCUUUUACAGUUUUCCCUCUUUUCCAAAAUAACCACAGUAGCAUGUUGCUUUUGCAAUUAGAAAAAAAGAGAAAGCUGUCAUUUAAAAAAUCAUUUGUUGUGGAGUACUGUUAUAAAAAUAUGCUGAUUAUUCAAAUCCAUAUUGAACAACCUAAACUAUUAAUAGUGAUAUUAUCUCUUAGUAGUGAUUUUCAUUUUUCAAUUUUUGCUUCUCUGUAAUUUAUUGUUUCUAUAAUUAAUUCUUUCAUUCAUUCAACAAAUACAGAGCAUCUGCUAUGAUUUAUUUUUAUGAGAAGAAAAAAUUUUAAAAGAAAAAAUGUACAAUGUCAGCCCAAAGUUGUAAAUUUUAUUCAAAAAAGGAGGAAGGAAAGAUAUAUAUGCUCAGAAAAAGACUGGGCACCAAAAUGUUACUAGCAAUUAUGUUUCGGUGGUGAGUUAGUGGAAAUGUUAUCUUUUCUGAGUACCUUUCUAUGCUUUCCCAGUUUUCAACAAUAUAUAUUACUUAUAUAUUCUAUCCAUGGCUGUGUCUCCAGUGCUUAGAAGAGUACCUGGCACAUAGUAGGAGUUCAAGAAGAUUUCUUGAACAAAUGAAUGCUUUUGAGUAUAAAUACCCCCAAAAUAGUUCUUAAAAACAGCAUGGACCUUCAUUUAUUCAGUCCGUUAUGGUAGGUGGCAAACUUUGCACUCAACCUAUGCUACUCUAUGCUGGAGAAGACACAGAGAAGGCCCAGGUGUAGCAGGGAGUUCCAGUUGCCAUUUACUGGGUGGUAGUGAUGGGGAGAGCCAUGUUACAGGAUGACAGGGUGAGCAGAAAUGGGGGACACACUAUUCAGAAAAACACCACAGUGUUGUUUUGUCGUAUUUGUUAAGAAUUUUACUCAACGUAUUUCCAGGAGAAUGGGAGGCAACACAUCACUGUCCCAGUGUCCAAUGAGGAUAGACCCCAUGUUGUAAUAGCUGGGUUUCUUGGUAGCGCUAUCUGAGGUUCACAGAGGAAUGGCGGGGUGAGAUGAGGUUGGGAUGACUCAGUCAUUUUCUCCUAUUUUGCUUGUAAUUAUGAAGCUCACUUCUCUGGUUUUAUAAAUUAACUUGGGUCAUAAGUCCAAAGAGAGACCAGAUAUGAGGCCAAUGUGGGGACAGAAGUCCCUUUGCUGGUACAUGAAUCAGGCUGACUGCCCCAGCAUCUAUAUCUCCACUUGGCUGUCCAACUUUGACUCAUGUAUGGGGGAAGUUAUAUGCUAUGGUGAUAUUGCCAAGUUAGAAGAGUCUCAAAAACCACCUGAGGCAGUCCUUAUGUGUGUCCAGGCACUACUAGGAGAAACAAACCUUUGAAGUCAUCCUCAAAUCUCCUCCUUCUCUUACAACCAACACAUUGGCAAAUUCUGUUGGUUUUACCUUCGAACUAUGUCCAGAAUCUGACCACUACCCCGUCUCUUACCUCACCUGGAUUACUGAAACAGCCUCUUAACCACUCUCUGCUUCAAUCCUUGGCCCCCUGCUGUAUUUUCCACACAGCAGCCACAGCAGCUUUUAAAGCCUAACUCAGAUUGUGUCUUUACACAAAAAUCUACAACGGCCAGAGCUCUUACAGUAAGGCCCUACCUUGUGUCCCCAGCUCUCGGUUAUCUCUCUGACCUAAUUUUCUACAGCUUUCCCCUUGCUCACUCCAGUCUAGCCACCUGGACCUCCUAGUUGUUUCUCAAACACGCCAGGCACACUUUGCCCUUGCUGUAUCCCUUGCAGGAAAUUGCCCCGUGCCCAUCCAAAUGGCCCUCUUAGAAUCUCUCCUCAAAUGUCACCUUAUCAGAGAGACCUUUCCUGACCACCUAUAUCAAGUAGAAACCAGCUAUCCAGACAUCAUCUCCUUUACCUGGCUUUGUUUCUUCAUAGCAACUGUCAUCAUCUGGGACAGUUCUGCCCACCAAGUGUGUCCGAUUUUCCCAAACACAGGGUAUGAUUGCACUUCUUCGCCUUUUGAAGUUGGGUACAGCCACGUGACUUGCUUUGCCUAGUGACAUCUGAGUAGAAGUGCCAUGUAUCACUUUCAGGUGUAAGCUUUAAAAGCCAGUGAGAAAUUCACCACUCUAUCUUCCUCUCUCUCACGGAGACUAGCCAUACUCCAGAUGGUGGUUCUCCAGGCAGCCUCGGUCCCAGAGUGAAGUUGCACAGAACAGAGCUCCCAGCUGAGCUGCAAGGAACACGCAGUGUGGCACAGAACAGUGAUAUCCAAGCCAAAAAACACAAGUGAUGAAUCUAUUCCAGGAGUGGUCCAAUGUGCAGCUCACUCUGGAUGCUUCUGGGUCACUAAGGAACACAGAGUGCAUGGAGAAAUAAAAAGCAAUAGUGCAAACGCUAGUCCUAGAUAUGAUGAUUGGGGAAAUGAUGAAAAAGGCUAUAAAUCAACUCAGUUAACUUCUCCUACAGAGCUAGGCACUGUGCAGGGGGCUGACGAGACAGAGCACAU